rnacentral:rRNA from 1 species
GACGAACGCUGGCGGCGUGCUUAACACAUGCAAGUCGAGCGACGCCCGGUCUUCGGACCGGUGACGGAGCGGCGAACGGGUGAGUAACACGUGGGCAACCUGCCCCUCGCUCUGGGACAACCCGGGGAAACUCGGGCUAAUACCGGAUACGACAUCACAGGGCAUCUUGUGGUGUGGAAAGUUUUUCGGCGAGGGAUGGGCCCGCGGCCUAUCAGCUUGUUGGUGGGGUGAUGGCCUACCAAGGCGACGACGGGUAGCCGGCCUGAGAGGGCGACCGGCCACACUGGGACUGAGACACGGCCCAGACUCCUACGGGAGGCAGCAGUGGGGAAUAUUGCGCAAUGGGCGAAAGCCUGACGCAGCGACGCCGCGUGAGGGAUGACGGCCUUCGGGUUGUAAACCUCUUUCAGCAGGGACGAAUUCAGACGGUACCUGCAGAAGAAGCACCGGCCAACUACGUGCCAGCAGCCGCGGUAAUACGUAGGGUGCAAGCGUUGCCCGGAAUUAUUGGGCGUAAAGGGCUCGUAGGCGGUCUGUCGCGUCGGCUGUGAAAACUCGGGGCUCAACCCCGAGCCUGCAGUCGAUACGGGCAGACUAGAGUGCUGUAGGGGAGACUGGAAUUCCUGGUGUAGCGGUGAAAUGCGCAGAUAUCAGGAGGAACACCGGUGGCGAAGGCGGGUCUCUGGGCAGUAACUGACGCUGAGGAGCGAAAGCGUGGGGAGCGAACAGGAUUAGAUACCCUGGUAGUCCACGCCGUAAACGGUGGGUGCUAGGUGUGAGCGGUAUUCCACGCCGUUCGUGCCGCAGCUAACGCAUUAAGCACCCCGCCUGGGGAGUACGGCCGCAAGGCUAAAACUCAAAGGAAUUGACGGGGGCCCGCACAAGCAGCGGAGCAUGUGGCUUAAUUCGACGCAACGCGAAGAACCUUACCAAGGCUUGACAUACACCGAAAACUCGUAGAGAUACGGGGUCCGCAAGGGCGGUGUACAGGUGGUGCAUGGUUGUCGUCAGCUCGUGUCGUGAGAUGUUGGGUUAAGUCCCGCAACGAGCGCAACCCUCGUUCUAUGUUGCCAGCGCGUGAUGGCGGGGACUCAUAGGAGACUGCCGGGGUCAACUCGGAGGAAGGUGGGGAUGACGUCAAAUCAUCAUGCCCCUUAUGUCUUGGGCUGCACACAUGCUACAAUGGCCGGUACAAAGGGCUGCUAAACCGUGAGGUGGAGCGAAUCCCAAAAAGCCGGUCUCAGUUCGGAUUGGGGUCUGCAACUCGACCCCAUGAAGUCGGAGUUGCUAGUAAUCGCAGAUCAGCAACGCUGCGGUGAAUACGUUCCCGGGCCUUGUACACACCGCCCGUCACGUCACGAAAGUCGGUAACACCCGAAGCCAGUGGCCCAACCCGUGAGGGGGGGAGCUGUCGAAGGUGGGAUCGGCGAUUGGGACG